UACGUAGGUGACCAGCGUUGUCCGGAUUUACUGGGCGUAAAGAGCGCGCAGGCGGUCGUUCAAGUCGAGUGUGAAAGCCCCCGGCUCAACUGGGGAGGGUCACUCGAUACUGAUCGACUUGAAGGCAGGAGAGGGAAGCGGAGUUCCCGGUGUAGUGGUGAAAUGCGUAGAUAUCGGGAGGAACACCAGUGGCGAAGGCGGCUUUCUGGGCUGGAACUGACGCUGAGGAGCGAAAGCGUGGGGAGCGAACAGG
rnacentral:rRNA from 1 species